AGGAGUUGCAACACACUCUUUCUCCAGUGCGCAGCGCUCGGCCCCGCUCACCGUCAGGGUGUCGUCUAUGUAGAGGGGAAUCUGCCUCCUCUCGAAGGGGAACUCCUCCUCCCCGUCCCUGCACACUGCCACGAGUCGCGCCAUCGUCCCCGACGCUGCCGUUGCCACCGUCACCACCUCCUCCCUCCUCCCAGCUCCUGCCUGCAACAGCCAAACCCCGCGAGACCCAUAGUGCACCCUUAGCCAUGUUGACUUAGUACAUUGUGUGGUCAUUGUUAGGGUCGGUGACAUAAUAAACGAAGAACCAUUGUUCAUUCCCGAAGGUGUCAUU
rnacentral:lncRNA from 10 species